UACGUAGGGACCGAGCGUUGUCCGGAUUCAUUGGGCGUAAAGAGCUCGUAGGCGGCUGCUCAAGUCGAAUGUGAAAACUCGAGGCUCAACCUCGAGCCUGCAUUCGAUACUGGGCGGCUAGAGUCUGGUAGGGGGAUCUGGAAUUCCUGGUGUAGCGGUGGAAUGCGCAGAUAUCAGGAGGAACACCAGUGGCGAAGGCGGUGCUCUGGGCCGGAACUGACGCUGAGGAGCGAAAGCGUGGGGAGCAAACAGG
rnacentral:rRNA from 1 species